AGCGAACGCUGGCGGCAGGCCUAACACAUGCAAGUCGAACGAACCUUUCGGGGUUAGUGGCGGACGGGUGAGUAACACGUGGGAACGUGCCUUUAGGUUCGGAAUAACUCAGGGAAACUUGUGCUAAUACCGAAUGUGCCCUUCGGGGGAAAGAUUUAUCGCCUUUAGAGCGGCCCGCGUCUGAUUAGCUAGUUGGUUGAGGUAAUGGCUCACCAAGGCGACGAUCAGUAGCUGGUCUGAGAGGAUGAUCAGCCACAUUGGGACUGAGACACGGCCCAAACUCCUACGGGAGGCAGCAGUGGGGAAUCUUGCGCAAUGGGCGAAAGCCUGACGCAGCCAUGCCGCGUGAAUGAUGAAGGUCUUAGGAUUGUAAAUUUCUUUCACCGGGGACGAUAAUGACGGUACCCGGAGAAGAAGCCCCGGCUAACUUCGUG
rnacentral:rRNA from 1 species